rnacentral:rRNA from 2 species
CAACAGGGAUUGCCUCAGUAACGGCGAGUGAAGCGGCAACAGCUCAAAUUUGAAAUCUGGCUCCUGCGGGGCCCGAGUUGUAAUUUGUAGAAGAUGCUUUGAGCGUGGCUCCGGUCUAAGUUCCUUGGAACAGGACGUCAUAGAGGGUGAGAAUCCCGUAUGUGACUGGGUGCCUCCGUUCGUGUAAAGCUCUUUCGACGAGUCGAGUUGUUUGGGAAUGCAGCUCAAAAUGGGUGGUAAAUUUCAUCUAAAGCUAAAUAUUGGCCAGAGACCGAUAGCGCACAAGUAGAGUGAUCGAAAGAUGAAAAGCACUUUGGAAAGAGAGUUAAACAGUACGUGAAAUUGUUGAAAGGGAAGCGCUUGCAACCAGACUUGCCCGCUGCUGAUCAUCCGAGGUUCUCCCCGGUGCACUCGGCAGCGAUCAGGCCAGCAUCGGUUCUGGUGGGCGGAUAAAGGCCUUGGGAAUGUAGCUUCCUUCGGGGAGUGUUAUAGCCCUCGGUGCAAUGCGCCCUACCGGGACCGAGGACCGCGCUUCGGCUAGGAUGCUGGCGUAAUGGUUGUAAGCGACCCGUCUUGAAACACGGACCAAGGAGUCUAACAUCUAUGCGAGUGUUUGGGUGUCAAACCCAUACGCGUAAUGAAAGUGAACGGAGGUGAGAACCCUUAAGGGUGCAUCAUCGACCGAUCCUGAUGUCUUCGGAUGGAUUUGAGUAAGAGCAUAGCUGUUGGGACCCGAAAGAUGGUGAACUAUGCCUGAAUAGGGUGAAGCCAGAGGAAACUCUGGUGGAGGCUCGCAGCGGUUCUGACGUGCAAAUCGAUCGUCAAAUUUGGGUAUAGGGGCGAAAGACUAAUCGAACCAUCACUACUAGGUGGUUAAGAGGUGGUUUACCCACCUAGUCCUCGAUAAAAGGGCCACACUAUCAAAUUGUUCGGGGACGUCCUGCUAAAUUCUAAGCUACCGCAGCUCUCUCGAAAGAGGGGCGAGCACCGGGUUAAUGGCCCAGGGGAUGGUAAUAACGCUUAGAUAGGGAUUAUCCGCAGCCAAGUCCUAAGGGUGCCGCAGCGCCUACGGAUGCAGUCCACAGACUAAAUGUUAGUGGGCCCCGCACUGUGCGGGGUUUAAGUUAUAGUCGGACCACCGAGAGAUCGGUCGGUCGGGACAGGAUUACUUCGGGGUUAUCACCGGCUAUAAGGGCGGUCCCGGAGUAUGAAAGCCCGCUGAGAAACCCGCUGUGGUUUUUGGGGGAGCCCUAUCCGCAAGGGUGGGGUUCCGAUCGCUAGUAGCUGGUUCCUGCCGAAGUUUCCCUCAGGAUAGCAGUGUUGAAUUCAGUUUUAUGAGGUAAAGCGAAUGAUUAGAGGCCUUGGGGUUGCAACAACCUUAACCUAUUCUCAAACUUUAAAUAUGUAAGAAGUCCUUGUUGCUUAAUUGAACGUGGACAUUCGAAUGUACCAACACUAGUGGGCCAUUUUUGGUAAGCAGAACUGGCGAUGCGGGAUGAACCGAACGCGGAGUUAAGGUGCCGGAAUAUACGCUCAUCAGACACCACAAAAGGUGUUAGUUCAUCUAGACAGCAGGACGGUGGCCAUGGAAGUCGGAAUCCGCUAAGGAAUGUGUAACAACUCACCUGCCGAAUGAACUAGCCCUGAAAAUGGAUGGCGCUUAAGCGUAUUACCCAUACUCCGCCGCCAGGGUAGAAACGAUGCCCUGGCGAGUAGGCAGGCGUGGGGGUCAGUGACGAAGCCUUGGGCGGAG